rnacentral:rRNA from 1 species
UACGUAGGGACCAAGCGUUGUUCGGAUUUACUGGGCGUAAAGAGCGCGUAGGCGGCUCGUUAAGUGUGAAGUGAAAUCUCUAGGGCUCAACCCAGAAACUGCUUUACAUACUGGCGAGCUGGAGUGAUGAAGAGGUUUGUGGAAUUCCUGGUGUAACGGUGAAAUGUGUUGAUAUCAGGAGGAACACCCCAUGGCGAAGGCAGCAAACUGGUCAUCAACUGACGCUGAGGCGCGAAAGCGUGGGUAGCAAACAGG